rnacentral:rRNA from 1 species
GACGAAGGGGGCUAGCGUUGUUCGGAAUUACUGGGCGUAAAGCGCGUGUAGGCGGUUGUCAAAGUCGGGUGUGAAAGCCUUGAGCUUAACUCAAGAAAUGCACUCGAUACUUGGUGACUAGAGGACCGGAGAGGAUAGUGGAAUUCCCAGUGUAGUGGUGAAAUACGUAGAGAUUGGGAAGAACACCAGUGGCGAAGGCGGCUAUCUGGACGGUUUCUGACGCUAAGGAGCGAAAGCGUGGGGAGCGAACAGG